CCUGUACUAUACAAAAAUCUUGAAGUUGAAGUUCCUACUUGUAAAUUCCAUUUUUACUUGCAAGUCUGUUUCAAAUUACUUAACAACAAGGCACAGUCUGAGGCAAGUAUCUGGCGAUUAGCAUGCGGCACAGUAAACUCUUUACUGAGUUUUUCGGAUUAUAAGGCGCAUUAAGGGACACUAGUAAGAAUGCCUACUUGAAGUGAACAAGGGUGUCGCCAUGUUUUACUUAUAAUUCAACAGGUUUUGCCACAGGAGGCGCCUAAGUAAACAAAACCAAAUCUUAAAAAACAUUUUCUUUCAAAGUUAUUUGAGCGCUGGAUGUUAACCUACAGAUAUUUUUCUCCUGAAAACUGUUUAUUUGGAUGCAUGCAUAAGAUACCUGGUGGAUGGCACUCCAGACGAAAAUGUAGCAAAUGAUAAUGAUGGACAGAGGAAGAAUACAGCAGCCAAAGAUUGGAGGGGUGCACCAGAUGAUGGCCCAAACCCAGGAGAAGAUGAUGCCACCUGCUGCCCAUUUGCCAUCGAAUUUAACAUUUCCAAAUGGCUUGCACACAACCACCCAGCGCUCCCAGGAGAUUAUAGUCAGAGACCACAGAGCUGUGAUACCUGCAUUGAAAAAGGAGAGAUAUUGGUAUCUCAGACAUGCUUUACUGUAGAUCUGAAGUGACUUAUUGGUUAUUACUAUUAAAAGUACGACAUGAUGGCACCUUUCACUGACCUGUAGUGACAGUUGCUAAUGAUUUCGUUAAUAUUUUAGAGAGUACAAAAUCCAUCAAAAAUUUAAUUAUUCAAAGUAUAGGUCCAUGGAGCGUGUGAAAUGAGAGUUGCUAAUACCGAUUAUACUGCUUCCUAGUUACUAUUCAUUCAUAAUUAUAUAAUCAGGUAAGUAACAUUGUAAACUGUGUAGAUGCUGGCAAGGUUCAUUUAGCAUUAAGUUGAGUUAGCUUGUUAAAAAGCAUAAUCAUUGCAGUCUUAAUGUCAUUAAUAGAUCUUUAGUUUGACUCCACAGUUUUUUUUAACUCCUGUAGUUCUUGUUGGACUGUGAUCGUGAUAACUGUUAAGCUGCUACUGAAAAAUGAAAUAAGAAUCUCUCAUCGUGUUUUGCAUUAUGUUCUGUGGUCUCGUGUACUUCUUCUGUUAACAGUGUUUGCAUUUUACUGACAAACACUGCAGUACGCUACCUAUGCUAACACAGUGCGAUACAGCCUGUUCCUGACAGGAGCCAGUCAAUUACAAUUGCUGUUAGCUCUGUUUUAUUGGACUAAAUCCAGCAAGUGAGGCGUCUAAAUCCCCGAUCCCAUCAGUGGAUUAGCUCGUGCCAGUUUAAUGCAAAUACAUUGUAAGACUCAAUGGAUUAAGCUGAGUGCUCGACUGUUCACACAUGAUCUGUAAUUGUCUUGUAUUCACUAAAAGUUGUGAACUUUAUUACCUCUUUUUUUUAAUAAGCGAGAAAACCCAUUAA